UUCACAUUCCCUCUUCUGCAAAAAUCAUGAGCGCCAAUAUCUUUUCAUAUCCUUCCUUUAUUUUUGUUUUAGUUUCUUCUUUUCUCCAAAUCAUAAAUAAUUUACCAAAUCUUUCUACUCUUUGAAUCUGAAUUCUUCCUCUUUUUUCUUUGCUCUUUCUCUUUGAAUCAUUCCUCUUUUCUCUUUCUCUCUGAAUUUUUCUACUCUUGCAAUUCUCGAAUAAUCGUUUCUCCCAAAUCAGAAAAACUCACCAAAUUGUUCCUCUUCUAUUCGCUCUUUCUCUCUGAAUCGUUCCUCUUCUCUAUUUCUAUCUGAUUUGUUUUAUUCCUUUCACACAAAGACUUUAUUUGAGGGGAAGAUUACAGGUUCAAAAGGUAUUAUUGAAGCUCUUUGUCAACCUAUGAGAUUCAAAUGAAGAUCUUGUUGCCUAAAUAUGAUUUUAAGGAAAAUAGGUUUCAUCUCUAUACAUUUCUUUUACAAAGGUUGAUGAAGCAUUUGUUAGUUAUUUAGUUAUGUCGACGGUAACUAGAUUUUUCAACAUGUGUGCUAUUUGUAUGUGUUUUUGCGUUUAAAUAAAUAAGUAGGGAAAAAUAUAUGCAACUAAAUCUUAAACCUGAUUUGAGUUAAUUUAUGAAUUUGUUAGUGAAAUUAUUGAGAGUGAAUUUGUGAUUAAAUAAGUAGGUGUUUAUAUUGUAUCUAUGUAACAGAGUGGAAUAACAAUAAGAGCAAACCAAGUCUAGCUAUCACAGGGUAUUAAUUCAGUUCUGAUAUAUGUAUUGUAUAGUUGAGUUUCAGUUUGGUGUAUUGUGGGUGGGUGAUCUAGUUGUCGGUCUAAGACUCUAAAUGGCCUUAUUAGAAGAAAAAAAAAAUUAUUGUAAUGUUCUAUUGUUAGAGUACUGCUUGUAUUGAAGAUAUUAGAAAGAACCUUAUAUAUCUCUUUUGCUAUUUACAAAAAAGAAGACUAAUUCUUCUUUUUUGUAUUUGGUUUUAAACUUCAUUAAAUUCUCUAGUACCUUAUGUGUCUUUCCUUCAAUAUUUGAUUUAUGCUUUUUAGAUGACAAGGAUUAUAAAACAGUCAACAUUUUCGCAAGAUUGGAGCAAGAUUAUUGAGAGUUCAGAAGAUACAUUACAUGUUUGAGACAUCUCAUACUUUAAUGGACCAAAGGAACCAACGAGAAGCUAUAUAUGCCUUUUGACAUCUCUCUUCUAUAUAGAGAAAAGAAGAUGAAGAGUACAACUUAUGCUAUUGGCAAUUACUUUGAUUGGAGUUCUCUUGAUUGAAGUUCUCUUUUGCAUCUUCUUAUAUUUUUUUCAUGAAGGAGGUUACAUUUUAUUCCAUUCUUGUUAUGGCAAGAAGAGACCAUAUCACACAUCAUCAAUUAAGUUGCUUCCAAUUACUUGUGCUAUCUACUCUCUAAUAUAUAUUUAUUGUUUUGUUACUUCUUCUCUUGUAUUUUCUGUUAUUAUUAACAAGAACGGCUAUAAUAUUGUGUUGCCUCCCUUUAAGAUUUCUAAUAUAAGGUUGUCAUUUACUUGCUAAUAAUACUUGACAAUUUUUAAAGUGGAUAACCAUUGAAAAAUUACUAUA